GUUGUGUUCUUGGCCUGCAGGGCUUCAGCAAUCGAUGUCAAGGAGACAGUGAAUGAUGACAUGUGUGUGCUUAUCUCCAGCUUUAAUUACCAAUGCCUACACUUUGGUCUCUGUACAAAACGCAGAUGCUUUAGACAAGAAACCAUGAGUUUGCCGUAACUGCCAGGGCAUUGGUACUGUUCUUUGUGAUAUGUGCGGGGGUACAAGAAAAUGGAAAGCUCCCAACCGAAAACGAGCCAAAGAUAGGUUUGAGUUUACAGAAUGUCCGAACUGUUAAGGUGGAGGGUUUUCCCAGUCUGUUUAGGUACAUGUUUACCAAACAACAAAGGACUCCUUAGAAGGUGGUGCUCGUACAAUGUACAAUGGUUGCCUUCUUCCCAAUUCUUGAGCAGCACAAUGGCAAUAGUUAUGAUUAUAGAAGAGGAAGAAAAGUAAUACAUUGUCGACGCAUGUGAAGCUAUAGGAGAAUGGGAUGCUAGAACAUGUUUUUGUAAUGCUGCUAGAAAUGUGUUGUUAAUUCUUUACAAACCUAAGAGUUUUCUUCUUCCUUAGACAGUCUUGACGACUCAA